CAUUGCUGUUGUUAUUAGCUUCAUUAACUUGUUCUGUGGGUUCAAGUUGUGCCGCUUGUAUGACCUCUUGAUCUUUUCAGCAGGGAAUCCUCUCUCAGGCUCUAGAGAUGAAUGAUACCUGUUUGUCCACACAACAGAGCAUCUUCGACCGUCUGGCUUUGAACCCGCAACCCUUUAGUCCACUUCACUGAUCUAUGAUUUGCAAGUGUAAAAAUUAAGUGGGAUGCUGCGAAUACAAAUGCUAUCAGCGGCAGAAUCGGCAGGUACUUGCUGGAGCUGUAGAUUGGGAUCAUCGGUCUCACAGUAUCAAAUAAAGGACACUGAAUGGUCGAAAC